rnacentral:misc_RNA from 1 species
AACAAGCACAGAGUUGCCACUGAUAUUGAGAUGGGAAACAAGGAGCUUGGGGUCAAUGGUACAAUUAAGUUACCCAACAAGCACGGAGUUGCCACUGAUAUCGAGGUUGGAAACAAGGAGUGCAGGGUCAAUGGUACAAUUAAAGGUCAGCCAUUAACUAUGUCUAAACCAAAGACAUUGGUUCAAUCUAAACCAAAGGCUUCUUCGAUGUCUCCUGGUGCUGAUCAUAUUGCUGAAGCGUCUAAAAGACCUCCUCAUCCCGAU